GGGCACACUAUGUGCCUGGCACCUUGCUUGCAAGGUGGUGCAGAUAAAAACAAAAAUAAUUAAAUGUAAUUCCUGCAAAUAUAAGUCACAAGGAUAAAUAACAAUAGAGGUGUUUUUUGUUUCACAAGAAUUUUCUGUAUUUUGUAAAUUUCCCUGAAAAAUCUGUUUAGCUGCCAAUGAAACUGGCAAGUCAAUGAUGAAAACCCUAAAAACCACACUGGUGGUCCCAUGGCAUGAGAAUUCAGGCAAUAUGUAAUGGUCAUGUGUGGGUCAGUUACUGGUCAGUUAUCCUCAGAGUACCCAGCCCCCUGAUCUCUAAGACAGGAAUAGGGAGCAGAAUAACCCCCACACAAUUCAGGCGGAAUGUAGCGUACCCAGACUUCAGUACAGCUUUAAUUCUGUUUCUCACAGCACUCUCCUGCAGAAUCUGCAGCCAAUGGCUUGGGCAGGUGUACUCUUCGCUGGGUGAGAACUGUCUGGAGGGCCAAAACAGAAGGUGGUGGUAAAUGGAGUUAAAUCCAGCCAGUGACUGGUCACGAGCAGUGCUCCUCAGGGGUCAGUACUGGGGCAGACCCUGUUUGAUAUCUUUGUAAUCUGGAUAAGGGGACUGAGUGCACCCUCAGUAAGUUUGCAGAUGACAUCAAGUUGAUAGGAAGUGUCAAUCUGCCUGGCGGUAGGAAGGCCCUACAGAGAGAUCUGGACAGGCUGCAUCAAUGGGCUGAGGCCAACAGGAUGAGCUUCAACAAGACCAGGUGCUGGGUUAUGCACUUUGGUCAUAACAAACCCAUGCAUCACUACAGGACUGGGGCAGAGUGGCUGGCAAGCUGUGCAGAGGAAAAGGACCUGCGGGUGUUGGUGGACAGCCAGCUGAACGUCAGCCAGCAGUGUGCCACACCUCGACUGUUGUGCUCUGUCCUGAGCUCCUCACUGCCAGAAAGACAUCAGGCCCUGGAGAGCGUCCAGAGAAGGGCAAUGAAACCGUGAAGAUUCUGGAACACAAGUCUCAAGGGGAGCAGCUGAGGGAAUUGUGAUUGUUCAGUCUGGAGAAGAGAAGGCUCAGAGGAAACCUUAUCGCUCGCUACAACUCCCUGAAAGGAGAUUGGCAGGAAGAGAGGGCCAGUGUCUUCUCCCAGGAGAAAUCAAGCUUGCCUGACUAUCAAUCUACUCUAUGGAAACAUCUGAACAACAAAACUGCUUACCGAAAUUUGUAUUUCUUAAGCUGUACCAAAGGCAGAGGAAAUGUUAGUGAACUCCAGAGCCUUAAUUUCCUACACAAAGAGCACAUGGUGAAGAGGCAGCAGCAUGGCCCUCUGCAGGAGGGAGGCCCACAGCCUUUGGACUCUUGGUUCCAAAUUUUCAGCACAAAGCUGAACCACUGAGCAUUCAGAGUCGCUGCUGUCAGGUUUCUAUCACACCACACUCCCAUAAGCUGCAGGAGAACUAUGGGACGGGAGAUCAUUCUGCUGACAUCCCCCUGCUUGCUAGAACAUCAGCGUCUAGAAGCCAUGAACAUGCAUCCUCCAUUCAAACAGUGGAAAAUAAAACAACAUUACUUCAGACAUAGAUAUUUAUUCUGGAUAUAGGCAUUUUCUACCUGGAAGAUAUGUUUAAAGCAGACACAUGUCAUGACACACUAGUUCAAAAACUUAUUUACCUGAAAGUUUUCACAGUUGUGCUGUCACGCUGCUUAAUUAUUACAGUAGCACAGGCUUCUUUAAAAGUAAGAUUACUACAAUUAAUACAACUGUAAUCGCUGUGGUGUUACCAUAAGGUCAGAAGAUGGUUAUGCCACUCCGUGACAGCUGAAGGCCAGCCCUUCUACCAGAUGUGAGACAAACAUCCAGCUGUGUUCUGAAUUACUGCUGUAGAUAUUGCUGCCUCCAUCUACACCAAGCGCCUUGGUAAUGACAAGUUUACAACUUGCCAAAAUGUGAAUCUGACCAAAGUUCCACAGGCAUUUUCCUCCCUGAACGGCAUUUUUCUAAACCUCAAAUUGUUAAGUCUACAAGUGUUCAGAUCUUUUUGAGCAGAGAAGGAAAAAGUGGAUUUAUUUUUAAAUUUUGGUUUCAUCAGAGAUGCAUGAGAGAAAGGAGAUGCCAGGAGAGAGUAGAGGAGACUGGAGAACAGCAGUGAUGGAGGUGGUAUACAAGAGAAGUCAGGACAGGCUGGGUGUCUUAGCUGGGACAGAACAGUUCUCUUCAGAGAGGCUGGUACGAUGCUAUGUUUUGGUUUUAGGAGAAAAACAAUGUUGAUAACACAGCGAUGCUUAUAGAUGCUGCUAAGCAGUGUCGUAAAGAGCCAAGGCCAUUCGCAGCGAAGGGCUCAAGGAGCAGGGAGAGAACAGAACUAGGACAGCUGACUCAAACUGGUGAAAGGGAUACUCCAUACCAUACGACUUCAUGCAGAAGGAGUUCUGAAGGGGGUGGGAGUUCAUCUGGCUCUCUCUUUCUUCUGCUGCUGGGGGGCAGCUGGGCAUUGGUCAGCAGGUGGUGAGCAACUGCUUGUGCAUCACUUGUUAUAUACAUCCUUUUAUUUUUCUCCUCGAUUCUCUCCCCCAUUGUAUUGGGAAGGUGGGGAGUGUGUGAAUGACUGUGUGGUGCUGAGCCACCUGCUGGAUUAGACCACAACACCGGGACAUCAGAGCAAGAGGAGGCCAACAAUGGAAGAAAUUCAGCAAGAGGUGCCCAGCGCUGCCAGCUUCCCUGCCCCACAUCUGCAGCAAAUGGACAUACAUCUCCCAUUGCCGUCUGUCCCUGCAACGCAGCAAAGAUCCCUGCAUUGCUCAGUGCACAGAAGACUGGUAGCUGUGAUCCUCCUGGUUCGAGUGGCAGAGAUGAAGCCAAUCCAGUUUUGGACAAGUGACAGUGCUGUGACCUGGGUCACUGCCAGACAGAGAACGGAGCUGCUGGAUCACAGCUCUAAAGAGACACGUUACAAGAGACGUAUUCUGAAAAAUCAAUGUUUAAGUGUCACAAAUUGGGUGCUAAAACAGCUGGAUGCAUUUCAUCUUAAUUUUUCUAUGUCUCAGUCAAUUUUUAAAAUGGAUUCCAUACCACUUCAUUUCAAAGCAUAAAAAUAGAUUCAUUAGUCGUUAUGAAUGUUUCAGAUUUCAUGGUGCCAAAUACAAAAACUGAAAUAAAUAUGGAUUUGAACUGAGAACAAUACAUCAUGGUACUAUCCCCUGAAAAAGAUGAAAAAUUAAAUAGUGACUAUUUUUACCUGUACAUCAGUAUUACAAAGUUUGUGUACUGCUCAAAGCAGUAAGAUGCUGGGGAGAAACAGGGCCAGAGCAGUUAAUUUAGCAUUUUCAUAACUUCCCCCUAUAACAAGGGGGAAGGAGAAGAUGAUGAAUUAAAGACAGCCAGCAAUCUUA